rnacentral:rRNA from 1 species
AUUGAACGCUGGCGGCAUGCCUUACACAUGCAAAUCGAACGGUAACAGGUCUUCGGAUGCUGACGAGUGGCGAACGGGUGAGUAAUACAUCGGAACGUGCCUAGUAGUGGGGGAUAACUACUCGAAAGAGUGGCUAAUACCGCAUGAGAUCUACGGAUGAAAGCAGGGGAUCGCAAGACCUUGUGCUACUAGAGCGGCCGAUGGCAGAUUAGGUAGUUGGUGGGAUAAAAGCUUACCAAGCCGACGAUCUGUAGCUGGUCUGAGAGGACGAUCAGCGUCAGUGGGACUGCGAAACGGCGCAGACUCCUACGGGAGGCAGCAGUGGGGAAUUUUGGACAAUGGGCGAAAGCCUGAUCCAGCAAUGCCGCGUGCAGGAUGAAGGCCUUCGGGUUGUAAACUGCUUUUGUACGGAACGAAAAGCCCCGGGUUAAUACCCUGGGGUCAUGACGGUACCGUAAGAAUAAGCACCGGCUAACUACGUGCCAGCCGCCGCGGUAA